GCCUGGCUGGCUCAGUUGGUAAAGCAUGUGACUCUUGAUCUCAGGUUCAUGAGUUCAAGCCCCAUGUUGGGCU
rfam:Canis lupus familiaris chromosome 10, whole genome shotgun sequence.